CCUACGGGUGGCAGCAGUGAGGAAUAUUGGUCAAUGGGCGUAAGCCUGAACCAGCCAAGUCGCGUGAGGGAUGAAGGUUCUAUGGAUCGUAAACCUCUUUUAUAAGGGAAUAAAGUGCGGGACGUGUCCCGUUUGGUAUGUACCUUGUGAAUAAGGAUCGGCUAACUCCGUGCCCGCAGCCGGAGUAAUACAGAGGAUCCGAGCGUUAUCCGGAUUUUUUGGGUUUAAAGGGUUCGUAGGAGGGCUUUUAAUGUAGCGGUGAAAGUCUGUGGGUCCACCACGGGAGGGCCGUUGAAACUGGGGGGCUUGAGUGUGUUUGAAGCAGGCGGAAUGCGUGGUGUAGCGGUGAAAUGCAUAGAUAUCACGCAGAACCCCGAUUGCGAAGGCAGCCUGCC
rnacentral:rRNA from 1 species